rnacentral:rRNA from 1 species
GGGUUGUGAGGUUAAGCGACUAAGCGUACACGGUGGAUGCCCUGGCAGUCAGAGGCGAUGAAGGGCGUGCUAAUCUGCGAUAAGCGCCGGUAAGGUGAUAUGAACCGUUAUAACCGGCGAUACCCGAAUGGGGAAACCCAGUGUGACUCGUCACACUAUCAUUAACUGAAUCCAUAGGUUAAUGAGGCGAACCGGGGGAACUGAAACAUCUAAGUACCCCGAGGAAAAGAAAUCAACCGAGAUUCCCCCAGUAGCGGCGAGCGAACGGGGAGGAGCCCAGAGCCUGAAUCAGCAUGUGUGUUAGUGGAAGCGUCUGGA